UCCCCCCCCCCCCCACUUCCCAGAAGUCACAGAUGAUCUCCGUGAAUUUCUGAGCAUUGACAACUGGGAUUUCCUCUGGGAUUACCUCACCGAUGGUAGGAGUUUUGUGAUCCACAUCAAUUAAUGAAUUCAGCCAAGUCAAUAUGUCAACACUGUAUAACAAACGUAUGCAUGGGGAUCAACCUACUAUUCUGUCACCAUUGUGUACUUUUGGCAUUCAGAGGACAUC